rnacentral:misc_RNA from 1 species
UCCGGGUAACUCUGGGCUCUGUCUGGACUGGGUUACCAUUGCUCCCUGGGCAGCCAGCGCCUGCUCUUUCCAAGGAAGGAUUUGGUUUGCCUCUCAAGUGCGUCUCUCAGUGAAGUCGCUCAGUCGUGUCCGACUCUUUGCAACCCACGACUGCAGCCCACCAGGCUCCUCUGUCCAUGGGAUUUUCCAGGCAAGGAUACUGGAGUGGUUUGUCAUUUCCUCUUC